rnacentral:rRNA from 1 species
CCUACGGGAGGCAGCAGUGGGGAAUAUUGCACAAUGGGCGCAAGCCUGAUGCAGCCAUGCCGCGUGUGUGAAGAAGGCCUUCGGGUUGUAAAGCACUUUCAGCGGGGAGGAAGGCGGUGAGGUUAAUAACCUCAUCGAUUGACGUUACCCGCAGAAGAAGCACCGGCUAACUCCGUGCCAGCAGCCGCGGUAAUACGGAGGGUGCAAGCGUUAAUCGGAAUUACUGGGCGUAAAGCGCACGCAGGAGGUCUGUCAAGUCGGAUGUGAAAUCCCCGGGCUCAACCUGGGAACUGCAUUCGAAACUGGCAGGCUAGAGUCUUGUAGAGGGGGGUAGAAUUCCAGGUGUAGCGGUGAAAUGCGUAGAGAUCUGGAGGAAUACCGGUGGCGAAGGCGGCCCCCUGGACAAAGACUGACGCUCAGGUGCGAAAGCGUGGGGAGCAAACAGGAUUAGAUACCCCGGUAGUC